GGGGACACGGAAAACACCGGGGGGACACGGAAAACACCGGGGGGACACGGAAAACACCGAGGAACGUGGGGACACCGCGAUCCCGCGGGACACGGGGCUCAGGAAUUCGGCUCCUGGAGCAGAACGAGCAGUGCCAGCUCUUGCUGGACUCAGAUCUGAGGCGUCUGCAGCUCCUCGGAGACGCAAAUCUGGGAAUUGUUUCAGGAAGAAGCCGAGCGGGCACGGAAAGACCGGGAGAACAAGACACAUCACGUUCCCCAAGCGAUAAUGAAGGAAUGAAAUUAAACCACCUGGGAGACCAAAACUCUCCUUCCUCCCUUCCUUCCUUCCUCGGGAACAGCAUCCCCUCCACGGCAGCGAUUCCUGCCCGAGCCAUCACCCGUGGGUGAUCCAGAAAUGAAUCACACCCAGAAUUGGGGAAUGUGGCUCGGAUAAUUCCUACAGCUGUUGUUCCAACCCAAUAAAACCCGGCAUAAUAGCAA